rnacentral:lncRNA from 1 species
GGACCCACCUUCCUACCGUAGCCGUGGCCUAGUGCAUAGGGCGUCCGCCUCGGCAACGGUAGGUAGGCGGUUCGAAUCCUGCCGCCGGACACCCACCGGUUAAAAGGGCAAGGCGUCCCCCCUACCCGGCGCCCGGUUGUUUACGGGGUGAGUGAACGCCUGGGGAGUAUCCGCUAGCAAUAGUUUCGAA